UGGCUAGGCCCUAGUUCAAUCAAAUGACUUAGCUUUCCUUUACCUUUCAAGAAAGUUGUACCUAGUUAUGACUAAACAAGAUAAUUCCUCCCACUUAGUUAGUUGGACACUUGAAGAUUUUAAUACUUACCUAUUGAUUGUUAAGAAGUCACGACCUAAUUGUUUACCUUAGAGAUUUCCAAUAUGGUGUGUUGAGUAAAAAGUAAUUUGUGACCACAUAGAAUGGUAUAAAUAAAAAGAAAGAAAAAAAAAGUGAUGAGAAUGUGAUGUAGGACAACCUUAGGAUGGUUGCCUACAAUGAAAUAGGUGGGCUAGGCAUUUUAUCUUUCAGGGUUUAAUGAGAUAAAU
rnacentral:lncRNA from 1 species